AUACAACACUCUUUUUUUUUUUUGUGGUCGUUUUUUGAAUUUUUUGGUAAUACAUUUAAACGGCUCGCAUGUAAAAGUUCAUGAAAUUGCUUUAAAAAAUUUAGUAGCCAAAAAAGAAAGCCAACAGCUAUAAUACAAACCUAAUCACAUUCUCAUACACACGCAUGAGAGCCUAAUGAUUUGUAUUUAUUAUGUAUAAUUAAUUUUAAAAAAAAAC